UAGUCCACGCCGUAAACGAUGGUCACUAGUUGUUGGGGUCUUGUACCUCAGUGAUUAAGAGAAAUUGAUAAGUGACCCACCUGGGGAGUACGAUCGCAAGAUUGAAACUCAAAGGAAUUGACGGGGGCCCGCACAAGCGGUGGAGCAUGUGGUUUAAUUCGAUGAUACGCGAGGAACCUUACCAGGGCUUAAAUGUAAGUUGCAUGAUUUAGAGAUAGAUCUUUCUUCGGACUACUUACAAGGUGCUGCAUGGUUGUCGUCAGCUCGUGCCGUGAGGUGUCAGGUUAAGUCCUAUAACGAGCGCAACCCCUACCGUUAGUUGCCAGCAUGUUAUGAUGGGGACUCUAGCGGGACUGCCGGUGCAAACCGAGAGGAAGGUGGGGAUGACGUCAAAUCAUCACGGGCCCUUAUGUCCAGGGGCUACACACGUACUACAAUGGCCGGGUACAAAGGGGCAGCGAUACCGCGAGGUGGGAGCUAAUCCCAAAAAGCCGGGUCUCAGUUCGGGAUUGGGAGUCU
rnacentral:rRNA from 1 species